CUUUAUUUAAAUAUAAAAUAAAAAAAACAUGCACCUCUUGGGUAAUAAAUGAUUUGUAUGUGAAUUACACUUAAUUAUGACAAAGGUUUUUCACCAACCUGUUGCUUGCAUUAAAAAAAAAAAAAAACACAAUAAAUAGUUUUAAUGCAACAUUAAAGUAAUCUAAUCAAUCUGCAGGUAGAAAGGUUUAAAAACAAUUACUUUGCACAUUAGGUGUAAUGAACACCAACUUUCUAUUGUUUCAAAAACACCAAAAAAACCUACUGCUUUCUGUCCAGUACGAAUUUACUCUAAUUAGCAUUGUCAAGAAAAUAGGCUGCUCUGUAUUACAGUCCCUUCUUAAAGCAGCACGGUCACUGGCAAAAUGUGUAUUUCAUGAGGAUAAUUUUUUUCUAAAAAUACUCAUUGACAGUGUUGGAAUUCCAACCCAGUCAAGAUAUACUAAGAAAGUAGGAGACUACAUUGUCUCUAUUUUUCCUCCGCUUGGCACUGGGCAGAGCCAGAGCCGUCAAGAAGUGUCAACAGUGCCUGCAGGGAAUUGGCUCUAUGUAUGGUGGAACCAGCUGUCUUGCAGGAGCCUCCAUUGAUCUCAAUGCUGUUCUUUCAACACAUGUGCAAGAGUACACCAGUGAUGUCGGCUCUCGUUGCUGAAGCAGCAGGAGCAGAAUAGAACUGUCAGAAAGAUGGUGGGAGGACCUGCGAGGGAUAAGUUUAAGUAAAACUCACCUUUGCCUGCUCGCCCCAGCAAUGUUUUUAUUGGGUGCCUUUGCAAAUACACCAGGCGGUGACAGUUCUACUUUAAAGGGCAAGGGUCUCGUCAAAAAUAUUUUUGCAAGUUAUUUUUUUUAAAUUAAGUAUAUUUAAUAAAUGAGAAAAACUACCUUUAACGUAUAACAAUUCUUUCAUAAACAUGCACUUUGGUUGAACAGUUUUUGAAAUCCAAUACUGAUUUAAUCACAGCCAAUAAAGCAUCAGGCUACCCCACAUAUGGAAUGAAACCUUUGGCUUUAAGGUGAUAAACCAGUGGUUUGUAAACUUUUUGACAGGGAACCCAAAAUAAAUGCACAGUUUUAGCUUGCUGACCAUUCAGUUUCAAACUUGAAUCAUUAACCGAUUUCUCAGCACAUCUUAGAAAGUCACACAUGCUAAAGUAACCAAUUUCUUGUGGAUCCCAUCAGGGAUCCACUGAAAUAGCAUGUGUGGGAAAAAAAAUAAAUAAACAUAUGUCCUGGGCUACGGGAUAAGAACCACUGUUAAAAACAAACUCACUGACUUGGUGUUAAUUUAAAGCAUUACAAGCUACAAUACCCAUUCAUUAAUACUUGAUAAAAGGAAAAAAAAAAAAAAUAGCCAAGUACCGUAUAUACUCGAGUAUAAGACGAGUUUUUCAGCACAUUUUUUGUGUCUUGUACUCGAGUCACUGUCUGUAUUAUGGCAACUUACACUGCCAUAAUACAGACAAGGACCGCUGGGCUCAUUACAAGCCCAGCGGUCCUGUUAGGGGCUGGCAGGAAGCAUUUACUUACCUUUCCUGCAGCUCCCUUCUCUCUCCUCCGGUCAGCUCCCCUGCAAGUCUCCAUGGCAACGCUCUGCACGGCACUCAGACCGCGAGACUUUCAGGAGCUGCAGGAAAGGUAAGUUAGAGCUCGCUGCCAGAUCCCCUCCUACAUAGCCAAUGCACCACCAGGGAAUUAGAGCCCCCUCCCUGGCCAGGUAUCAAGCAGGGAGGGGGGACAAAAAUAUAAAGAUUUAAAUUAAAUAUAAAAAAAAAAUGCCCACCCCCCCACCAAGGCUCUGCAUCAUACAUACACUGCAUUAUAUACUCAUACACACACACACACACACCCCACAUUCAUACACACUAUAAAUAGUCAAUAUAAUUUUUGGGGGAUAUAAAUUUUAUUUAGAAAUUUACCAGUAGCCGCUGCAUUUCCCACCCUAGUCUUAUACUCGAGUCAAUAAGUUUUCCCAGUUUUUUGGGGGUAAAAUUAGGGGUCUCUACUUAUAUUCGGGUCGACUUAUCCUCUAGUAUAUACGGUAGCUUGGCUUACAGGCUACAUACAUUUAAACAACUAUUAGUGCUACAGGUACCUCAAAUGCUGAUUAUUCUGAGAACUUAUUCACAAAUACUUUUUUGUAGAGGUAUAUUAUAAUUCAAAAUCAUACAGUCUAAAACACCACAACUCGCAUUGGUCAUUGUGGUCGGUAUGGCAUUAGGAGUCUGGUGAGCUGGACUUUUGUGUUGGUGAGAGAUAGUUUGACAGAAAACAGGUGGGAGAGAUAGGGGCACAGAUGACUCAGCUCCAAACCACUACAGUCAUAGCGCUCAGAUUUUUCUAGCACGUUAUUGCAACAUUUAUACUGUGACAAACUGAAAUGUUAAAGAGAAACUAUGAAACAUUACACAAGGAUGGUUUGGUAUUCAAGUGGCUCAGGCACCUCAAACCUUACUUUCUCCAAUUGUUUCCUCUUCCAGAAGCUGUACUUUUCUUCAUUUCUGAUCUAAUUCUCUUUAAAACAUAAGACAAAAGUAGGGACUAUAUUUUUCCCUACACUUGGCAAUCUUCAAGAGGCACUUCUGGAAAGAAAAACGUCAUCAAAAUGAAACUUAUGGAGCCAGGAGUACUCUUACCUCAAUAGGUUAAACUGUUCACUAACACCCCAAACAAUGCCUUUCUACAUUUUUUUUUAAAGUAACUUGUUUUAAUUGUACGUAUUGGGGUUGAUGCAUACUCUAGUCAUUGCUGCCGCCCAUGCAGUAAUGGGAGUUUGAGCGCAGGGAUUAAUUUUGUAUUUAGUUGUUUUACAAUGUGUAUAUUUUUUAAAUGCAAUAACGUUAGAUGCGUAUACAUUAUUAUAAAUCACAUUUUCAAUUACAGACGGUCCCUUUGGCCACAAUACUAGGAAAUGAUCAGAUAAUUACCAAUUUUUGGCAAAAACUCCCAAAAUAGAUCAAGUUUUCCAGCUUAGAUAUUUUGGCCCACUUGAGAUUCUGUGUUUGUAGGAAAAAAUAAUAAU